AGUACUACAGUAUGACAUAAUACCCAUAAAACCUAGCAGUCAAACAAGGAAAUGGUUCCAUAUUUUUGUGUUUCGUGUAGGCUUACGCUGUCAUGAAGUUUUGAUAACCGUGUAAAUCUCUCCAGGACAAGGUGACUUCUAUCAAUAUAUUUGCCUGUAUUUACCCCCCCAAAAUAAAAUGCUAAUUAGCUGCUAAUGUAGCUAUCAUAAGGAACUACAAAUGCCAGGAUGAUCUGGACAAAACGGCCGAAUUGAGGCAAAGGAAAGAACGGUUAGUACAGCAUGCCAAACUGACCCCUGGGUGCCAGUGUUCCUGUACUGCGGUGGAGAAGAGGUCCACCGAGACCAUCACUAAAGAGCUCAGUGCCCAGCUAGAUUGUGCUCACAUCCAUCAGUAUACAUCCAAGGCCUGCCCCUAUACGCCACUGAUGGAGCUGACAGCGAGUGAGAUCAGUGAAGACCAUAAAAGAUGACUUUGGGGGAGCGGGCUGGUAUUCCCGAAAAUGGAGAAGGAGCAGGCCAUUCAACAGCGAAUUGAAAGAUACACCCAUCCAUAAAGGGAAUCGGAGUGGAAUUGUUUUUCCACCAAUUGUAUUUUUAUACCCGUUUCAACCUUGUCCCCGUCCUGCUGUUUCGACUCUCUCUCUCUCUCAACCUAUGAAUGCUCAGCUAUGAAAAGUCAACUGACAUUUGCUCCUGAGGUGUUGAACUGUUGCACCCUCUGUAACCACUGUGGAUAUUAUUUUUAUUUAAAAAAAGGGCUUUUGUCAAAUACAUUUGAUUGAUUGUUUGCUGUGAUGGGACAUUUUUAUAGUAUCUGUAACAUAUUUUGGUGUGUGUUUAAUCUGCAUCUUAACUUCUUAAAGUGGCAAUCAGCAGUAGAAACAAUAACAAAAUGCCUCCCUGCUCGUCUUUUGGUAAAAAUCUGAGGGAUUGAGAAAUGUAACCACUCUCAAUUACACAGACAGCGCUAUAGAUGCAAGGACUGACCAUGUACACAGUUCGCUUUGGAUAAAGGCGUCUGCUAAAUGGCAUAUGUUAUUAAAGUCUACUUUGAUGAACAGCCAAAAAGCACAUGAAAUCUGAUAUUUUAAGCCACAUUCCAAGUCUGUUACAAAUCUGAUUCCCGGCCACGUGACCGACUUCUGAGCGGUCAAAUCUGAUUUAUUUGUCCUCAAGAAGUGUUCUUUCGACGGUUGUUUGUCAUAUCUUGUUGCUCACUGGCUACCGUGUUCACAGUAUGGCAAGAAGAUGUGGCAGCUUAAUAGCUUGUUGAUUGUUUACAAAGAAAUGAGUCAACGUGCUAGAACGCUAAAUGGCUAGUUGAAUGCUGUGGUUAGCCAAACAUGAUUUGUUUUUGAAAGUUGGAUCAUCUUAUCCUUUGCGGCUUUAAAAGUGUUUUUACAUUAUAAUUUUCUACAUUAAAAAGCAACUGGAAAACAUCCAUGGCAGGCAUUGCUGUCACCUUAGCUCGCUACAUAACUUCUGAGCAAUUGGAAGCACGAGCAAACACAACCAAUCAGCCUACACCACCGCCCACACACGUCGUUACUAUGACAACGAGUUUAGCCAUGUCAGCAAGUGACUGUCUGAACAGACACACCUGAUUUGGUCACUGGUAACUUUCUGUUUGUAUAGUUAGUAGUCCACAACUGAUUUGAAAAACAAAACUGAUUUGAGCAUUAAGGCCUGCAGUGUGUACAAGUCUUAAGAGCUGUUCACACCUUGAUUGUACAAUAUUUGCCAAUUAUUCUUGAAAAAAUGAUUCAAGGUCUAUCGAGUUGGUUGUUGAUCAUUGCUAGACAGCCAUUUUCAAGUCGAGCCAAUGUUGUCUUGGUAAGCAACUCCAGUGUAUAUUUGGCCUUGUGUUUUAGGUUAUUGUCCUGCUGACAUAUGAAUUUGUCUCCCAGUGUCUGUUGGAAAGCAGACUGAAAUAAGUUUCCCUCCAGUAUGUUGCCUGUGCUUAGCUCUAUUCAAUUUCUUUAUAUCCCUCAAAUAACUCCGUAGUCCUUGCUGAUGACAAGCAUACCCAUAACAUGAUGCUGCCCACCACCAUGCUUGUUGUGUUGGAUUUGCCCCAAACAUAACGCUUUGUAUUCAGGACAAAAAGUGAAUUUCUUAGCCACAUUUUUUGCAUUAUUACUUUUUGCCUUAUUGGAAACAGGAUGCGUGUUUGGGAAUAUUUUUCUUCUGCACAGGCUUCCUUCUUUUCACUGUAAUUUAUGUUAUAGAAGUAACUACAAUGUUGUUGAUCCAUCCUCUGUUAUCUCCUAUCACAGCCAUUAAACUCUGUAACUGUUUUAAAA